rnacentral:misc_RNA from 1 species
GAAAUGCGAUAAGUAAUGUGAAAUGCAGAAUUCCGUGAAUCAUCGAAUCUUUGAACGCACAUUGCGCCCUCUGGCAUUCCGGGGGGCAUGCCUGUCCGAGCGUCAUUACGCACCCUCAAGCCCGGCUUGUGUGAUGGGCCCCGGCGUCUCGUUCGCGAGACGGGCCCGAAAGGCAGCGGCGGCGUCGACCCGAUGAGCCCGAGCGUAUGGGGACUUCUGUCACACGUUCGCGGUGCGGACCGGCGCCUGCUUGACUUUUCUGAUUAUCCAGGUUGACCUCGGAUCAGGUAGGGAUACCCGCUGAACUUAAGC